UGAGAACCCACAAGCAAGAAGA
rnacentral:piRNA from 1 species